rnacentral:lncRNA from 1 species
UUCCAGUGUUUGAGAAUCGCCACCUUCAGCUCCAUCAAGCCUCAUAUUUGCUUCUGUCAUUUCUACAUCUGGUUCCGGAAGUCGUUGCUGUAGGGGCACUGCAUCACUGAUAAUUUGACCUGUUCUUAAUCUUUCCCUGUAAUCCUCCAUCUCAAUCCUAUAUCUUUCUUUGUCUUUGAGCGCUUUGUCCUGAUAGACCUGAGCAAUGACAAAAAGUCCAAGAAGUAAUAACUUAAGAACAUACUAUAAAAGAGAAAAUAGUUAUAAAACAUGUUCAGUUAUUGAAUUACGGAAUAAUUUACGGCUCUUACUGUUUUUUCUGAUUCAGUUAAGUUGUUCCAUAAUUCACCAAUCAUUCUACUAAUCUCUCUGUCCUUUCCAGGGUGAAGUGGUUUCAGCCUUGCGUGCUGCUCAGCAAAAAAGAAAUUAUACCCACUCCUGUUAGGUUUCGGAUGAGCAGGGUCCCUCCGUUUUAUCUCAGAUUUCUUCCGGCGCCUCCGACGUUGCAC